GAUGAACGCUGGCGGCGUGCCUAAUACAUGCAAGUCGAGCGAAUGGAUUGAGAGCUUGCUCUUAUGAAGUUAGCGUCGGACGGGUGAGUAACACGUGGGUAACCUGCCCAUAAGACUGGGAUAACUCCGGGAAACCGGGGCUCAUACCGGAUAACAUUUUGAACCGCAUGGUUCGAAAUUGAAAGGCGGCUUCGGCUGUCACUUAUGGAUGGACCCGCGUCGCAUUAGCUAGUUGGUGAGGUAACGGCUCACCAAGGCAACGAUGCGUAGCCGACCUGAGAGGGUGAGCGGCCACACUGGGACUGAGACACGGCCCAUACGCCUACGGCAGGCAGCAGUGGGGAAUCUUCCGCAAUGGACGAAAGUCUGACGGAGCAACGCCGCGUGAGUGAUGAAGGCUAUCGGGUCGUAAAACUCUCUUGCUAGGGAAGAACAAGUGCUAGUUGAAUAAGCUGGCACCUUGACGGUACCUAACCAGAAAGCCACGGCUAACUACGUGCCAGCAGCAGCAGUAA
rnacentral:rRNA from 1 species